rnacentral:rRNA from 1 species
UACGGGAGGCAGCAGUGGGGAAUAUUGCACAAUGGGCGCAAGCCUGAUGCAGCCAUGCCGCGUGUAUGAAGAAGGCCUUCGGGUUGUAAAGUACUUUCAGUCGUGAGGAAGGCGUUAAGGUUAAUAACCUUAGCAAUUGACGUUAGCGACAGAAGAAGCACCGGCUAACUCCGUGCCAGCAGCCGCGGUAAUACGGAGGGUGCGAGCGUUAAUCGGAAUUACUGGGCGUAAAGGGCACGCAGGCGGUUAAUAAGUUGGAUGUGAAAUCCCCGGGCUUAACCUGGGAAUGGCAUUCAAGACUGGUUAGCUAGAGUCUUGUAGAGGGGGUAGAAUUCCAUGUGUAGCGGUGAAAUGCGUAGAGAUGUGAGGAUACCGGUGCGAAGCGGCCCCUGGACAAGACUGACGCUCAUGUGCGAAAGCGUGGGGAGCAAACAGGAUUAGAUACC